GUGAUUAUAGUUCAGUUGGUUAGAGCGUCAGAUUGUGGUUCUGAAUGUCGUGGGUUCGAGUCCCACUAGUCACC
rnacentral:tRNA from 1 species